CAGUGGAGUGGUCGGAAUCUCGGGGGCUGUCUAAUGGUGUUCAUGGAAAGCUAAAAAUUCUUGUACUCAGGCUCCUCGGGGAGUGUGCCUGAGAGCUAAAAAGUAGAACAGUUGUUGUGUUCCGCUCUAAAGAAUGAGUAAUUUUCAUGACAGGAAAAAUCCUGAAUAAGCAAAGCCUGCAUCAGCUUAGACAGAAUAGAGCUUCUCAAACUGUCAAAGUAUAUAGAGAACUUGUUGUACAAAAUCUAAAUUUCUUCCCGUGCUCCUGAAAUGAAAAUAAUAGUUGUAGGGUGAAAAUUUGAAGAUAUUCCCUAAUUUAUGCUCAUUAUAAGAAACAAAAUUGUCAUCCAAUUUGAAAUAAAAGGCAAUCGAGCAGCAUCCGAUGUUCUAGGAUGGGGAAAGUAAAUAUAUGUUUUGACAACAGCUUCCUUUUGUAAAAUUUGUUUAGAUGGCUUCGUCUCCUUUUCCUGUAACUUUGAGUUUCUGUAUCAGCUUUAUUCCUGAAAAUACGUAUUUCGUCUGAAGAAAUUCAUCUGCUUUAGCCAGUGUAGUUGAGGGAGGUUGGCGAGCUUGGCGUUAGCAAGUGUGUAAUGGUGAGUAGGUAUUUUGGUGGUUGUUUGCAUGUCAGUAUAGUAGGGAGGAGGUUAAAUGAGGAGAAGAAAUAAUCUUCUAAGAUUCUUUAAGACAGAAUAACCAACAGCAGCUAGCUUGUGCUUUGAGGUUUAAGAUCCCUUUGUGGGGAAUUGCAGGUAAUAAAACAGAAGCUUAUGCUUUACCUGCACAGGAACCUUUGACUAGAUCGAGAAAAAGGAGGUCAUUUUUGUUUUUCCCUGCUGGACUCCAAUAUAUGAGAUGUGAAAACCUUAUCUGGCUUUUCUAGGUCUUCUUUUCAAUAUGAUCCUUAUGAAUAGAAUGAUGCCACGAGUACUAGGUAGAAGUUGCAUUAUCAAAAAAGAGUACUAGGUAGAAGUUGUCAGUUUUCUUUUUCUUUGUUAGAUAAAUAAAAGCAGCACUUCUGUCUAAUGUGUCCAAAUAGAAAUUUCAUUGGGUAGGACUGUAGGAAGCAUUUUGCUAUCAAAAGAUAAUCCUCAGAAGCUUGAUAUCUUUUCUAAUACUUCAAAAUCUGUAAUCUGUUAGGUUGAGACUGAUAAAGGUGGUGAUGAGGUAGUUUAGGACUCCUGUAAAUUAGAUCACUCUUUUAUGCGAAUUGUUGAAAAUGUUGUAUCUUCCUGCAGAUUGCAGCAAUAUCUCAGCAAGCUUCUGAAACAGAAGGAGAAACUCAAGAAAGUUAUUCAAAUCCAUUGGGAUCAUUUGAUAUAAGGGCCGUAGUCUCUGCUACAGAAGAUCUUCUCCAAUUUAUUUUAUCAGACAAGGGUUCAAGGGUCCGUGUAUUCCUUGUCAGGGACAUAGUUAAAGCAGCUGAUGUUUUCUAUCAAGAUGAAGUUCUAAAUGAUCUUCUUGAUGAGAAGCUUCGUGCGAGACGUUUAUUUGGAUAUGAGGAGCAUGGUAUUCUAGUUCGUGUGAUGAGUGGGUUUCGUUCUCUAGGACGUGCAGUGAAAUUGGCUCCGGAUUUGUGGUCAGCAAUGCUGAUUCGCAUGGUGGUGAAACCAGAGUUCCAGAAAUUUGCUUUUGACAUUGGUUCAGCGUUAACCAGUCAUUUCAAGUGUCAACUUCCGGUCAGCUUUUGGAUGGGUAUUUCCAGGCUACUGCAUAGGGUGGUUGAUAAAAACGAAGCUGAAGUAUCAUGAUGUAGCAAAGGUUGGUGCUCUCGUUUUUGUAUCCAUGGUUAUGCCCUUGUUAUUUUUCCCAGCGGAUGCUUGGAAUGAGAGUUUUUGAGUAGGGAAUGAAAAUUAACUCCAAGAUUAUAGAGAAAUUGCAAAUAUUAUGCCUCAAAUGCGGGUUCAAGCACUCUGCCUGUUCUUCUGCGUUUGGAUCUUACAGAGUAUCUGCUUUCGUUUUCUGGAUGGUGGGACAGAAAGAAGAGCGUCCCAUCCAGCAAAUGUCAAUUCAUUAUACAAACAUUAACAGGAUCAAGAGGGAAAAGCACACUAUACACUCCAAAAAGAGAGAACGGUCUUCAACUGCGCUAUAGGCAUUCUACAAAUGUCAAUUUCAUUUUAAUAACGUAAUAGUAUCAAGAGGAUUGUAUAGUUCCACCGAGGUUUCUAAGAAGUACUGCAAAUUCUGCAGUGUCUCCGCACGUUGGAGUUGGUUAUAUAGCCUAUAGCUUUGUGAUAGUCUGAACUCUUGUCUGUAUGGUGCAUAAUACACUUUUCAUGUAUUUCCACAUCUGGUUUCUUGCCGGAGCCUGUCUUUUUCAA